UGUCUGCCUUGUUUCUUAGAGGAAGGGCCUAGGAACUGCAGCCAAGAAUAAGUCCUCUCUUUUCCCUGGGCUGGGCUGGUUAGAGAGACAGGAGCCCCUCAAUCUGAUCCUCUGAAGGCAGGCGGUAUGAGGACCAGGCCUUGGGAUGGAGUGAAUUGGAGUCCCAGUGACAAAGAUCGAGAGAGAGAGAGAGAGAGAGAGAGAGAGAGAGAGAGAGAGAGAGAGAGAGGGAGAGAGAGAGAGAGACAAGCAGCAGGGGUCCUGAGGGGACAGACUUUUUUUUUUUUUAAUGUAGCCACGCUAAGGGGCAGAAGCGCUGGCACGGUGGGCCUGGGGCCUGGGGUACUCAGACUAAAAUAAAUAAUUAGCAAAUGUAAGAAUGAAUCAGAGAGGUGGGCAUAAAGACGAAGAAAGUAUCAACCAGUGAGAGGCACGGACACCGAGACAGAAUCGAGGUGCCAGACUGGAGAGGGACUACAGAAAACAGAUUAUCGCAGCCCUUUCAGAGCGCACACAACAAAUGCGCCCGCCAUCGAAUGCAGCAUUUACCACCACAGAUCCGCGCGCCGAUGGGCAGGCUGAUAGCGUCCGCGGGGGGCUCGCCGGGGCGAGUGUGCGCCCCGGCUCUGCCUGGUGUGUUUGGAGGAACACGUGGGUAUGCCAGCGAGUGGACCCAGAGCGAGCAAGGAUGUGAGUGUGCGAGUAAGUGUGCCUCGAGAAAGUUCACGUGUGCGAGACCCUGCGCACACACAUGGUGAGUGUUCGUGGCGAGUGCCAGAGAAGAGGCCGGCGAGAGGCAGGCGGGAAAGGAUGCUGCACGUGACCUCGUGGGAAGCACGCUGCUAGUGUGUGCAGUGUGCUAGCCGCGUGCACGAGACAAUUUACAGUGAGGGCCUACAAGUACCUAGCUUUCGAGGAUGCUGUUUGGGGGUGCGGAACAAAGGGGUUCGAAGCCACUCCUGAAUGGUAUGCGUAGCAUUUGCAGGCCGCACUCCAUAAGGAGUAUUUCUGAAGCUGCUGGGUGGCUGGUAGCUGACGUUUACGCCAGCAGCUCAGGCCUUUGGAACCCGCACGGAUCUGUGGACAGUGUGGACGCAGAACAACUAGAUGUACAGAACGAUGCGCGAAGCUAAGGACCAGUCUUCUCGGGCCUUGACUGAGCCUGUGUUGUGCUACUCUGGGCUGGACAUUGGCUGUGAGGAUGAGACCGCUGUACGCUCGGUCCGGGAAGUGCUGGAGAGUGACACCCGGCUAGCGGCUGUGGCGUUUGAGAGCGUCCAGGGAUCCUGGUGCUGGCUUUGGGGCCCCUCCGCCAAGGCCUUGCAGCUGGGGCAACAGAGCCCAGCCCGCCGCCCGAGGUCCGGGACGUGAGUGACACGCGCCGCCACAAAGGCUGUAUUUUUCCAGGCCCGCGCCCCGCCCGCGCGCGAUGGUCCCCAUGGCGACGCAGAUAGCGCGCGGCCAUUUUCCUAUCUCCCCGGAGUCUAUUAUACAGCGGGAUUAGCUCAUCUCCAGGCAGGUCAAACCCAAAGUCACACAACCUGCGGCGUGAGCCCCGCCUCCGGCCGCUC
ensembl:lncRNA